rnacentral:rRNA from 1 species
AUGAGGUCUCUGGCGGAUGAGCUUGCAGCUGCUGGCAAGCCCAUCGAUGAUGAUGAGCUCAUCUCCUACACCACCUCCGGCCUCGACAUGGAGUACCAACCUCUUGUCUCCGCCAAUGACGCCCGCACCGAGCCCAUCAGCAUCGACGAUCUCUACGCCCAGAUGAGCAACUUCGAUCAGCGUCUCGCCCUGUACAGCACGGCAGGAUCCGGUGGAGGCUUCAAAUCCUCUGCUAACGCGGCCUCUCGCGGCCGCGGUGGCGGCGGACGUGGCGGCGGCAGCUCUUCUCACUACCGUGGGCCGCAGCGCACCAAGGGCAAGCCAUCAGGCGGCGAUGGCAACCCUCCUCCACGCAACAGCAACGGCGGCGGCUGUCGGCCCUACAACAACAGCAACAAGGGUCGCCGCGGAGGCCGUCCACGAGCUGCUCCUGACGUCCCGCGCUGCCAAAUCUGUGGCAAGCCAGGCCACACCGCGCGGGACUGCUGGUACCACUACGAGGAAGAUGAAGAAUCUUCCCAAGAUGAGAAGGUUGUGGGGGCAGCCGACGGCUCCUACGGCGUCGACACGAACUGGUACGUGGACAGCGGCGCGACAGAUCACAUCACAGGGGAGUUGGAGAAGGUGACCAUGCGCGAGAAGUAUUGCGGGCAAGACCAAGUUCAUACCGCCAGUGGAGAAGGUAUGAGCAUUAGUCAUAUUGGUCAUUCAGUAAUAAAAACUCCCCACAAAAUAUUCGUCUCAGAAAAUUUUUGCAUGUCCCUAGUGCAUCAAAGAAUCUCCUUUCCGUUCAUCGCAUUGCUCUCGAUAAUCAUGUAA